rnacentral:rRNA from 1 species
AAUCAACGCUGGCGGCGUGCCUAACACAUGCAAGUCGAACGAGAAAGCCUGUAGCAAUACGGGUGAGUAAAGUGGCGACCGGGUGAGUAACACGUGGAUAACCUACCCUUGAGCGGGGAAUAACCCUGGGAAACCGGGGCGUAAUACCGCAUAAUAUCCUUUGUACGAUAGUCGUCGGAUUGAAACCUGGAAACGGGACUCGAGGAGGGGUCCGGCGGCCGAUUAGCUAGUUGGCGGGGUAAGUGGCCCACCAAGGCAGUGAUCGGUAGCCGGCCUGAGAGGGCGGACGGCCACACUGGAACUG